CUCUGGCCGGCUCCUCUCCGCUCCGCCCCUCCAGGGCGAAGUUUGGGGAACUUUCCCCCCACCGCAGGCGGCGCUGGGAGCCUCUCGCCCCGCUUCCCGGCCCGCCCCGCCGCCCCCGAGCGGCCUCCUCCGCCCCCGGCCCCGCUGCCGUUCUUGGCCGCGCCGGGGAGGGGGUGCGUGUGGGAGGUUGUGCCCGGCGGACGCGUGAUCGUGCGCGCUGUAACCCUGCGCGUGUGGCCAGGCGUCACGCGUGGAAGCGAAGGGUGUCCCGGCCGUGCCGUGCCGUGCCGUGCCAUGGAGAGCAGCGGGAGCUGAGCGGCCCCGGCCCCACCCGCCCCCGCUGCCAGCUCCGCGUUACCGCGCCGCUACGGCGAGGAAGCGGGAGAAACGAAGGGGUGCGUCGGAUUUCGGAUUAGCGGUGUCUGACCUUGAUUCCUUUUCUGAAGUGACCUUUAAAUCACAAGUUAUUAGUGGAAGGUUUAAAAAAAUAAUUCAGCGUUUCAUUGUUCGUGUGCAGACGUAGUUGCAAUUCCCGCUUCCCUCUCCCGUCAGUGGCGUUUCUGAUUCCAAAUUAAAUCUUGAGGAAGGAUAAAUACUUUGCCCCGGUUUCAUUUCAUCUCUGUUUAUUUUGCUUAAUUAGCAUUACGGUGCUGAGAAUGUCAAGGGCAAAUGUUUUGGUUAGUUAUUAAACAUGGAUACUUGUACAAUUCACUGUCUAAAGCAGCUCUUCCUCAUGAGAUAGAAACACAGACAGACACGAAGAUAGAGUAUAAUGUCCAUUAAGGAUUAUUAAAAGAGGAGGAAGAUUCAAAGUGAAGAUUUGAAAGUGAAUGCUGCUCCUUACUUUUAAGGCAUGAUAAAAUGGAAAGAGAGAAAUCAAGCCAGCAAAGCUGUCAUCUAGUGAAGAAACAGCAAAAAUCUGGCCUAUAUGAAAUCAAUUGGAAAAGUCUCUGCCUUGCCUCCCUGGAGGAGUCAGUCCAUGGAAGGAACAGCUACUGAAGCUAUUAGUUCAAGUGAUAAGAGUCUCCCCUGUGUCAUUAUGAAGACCUGACCUUUGCUGAUGACAUAAGUGGCAGAAACAUUAUAUGACCCCAGCAGCUUUAUGUCCUUCUGGGACCACAGUGGGAUGACAGCCAACCACUGGCACCAGUGCUGCUGGUUUUGCCCUGCUGCUGGAGUCUUGGCUGCAGGCAGCGUAUGCAGAGGCGCGCUAAGAACAGAUGUCUGUGGUACGCUGCUCGUUUUGAGAUGAACCGUUGUAGACUGCGCUGUGCAUCCCUCCCGUCUCCAAAAUGUGGGUUAGAAACUGCCUUUCUGUUUUGAGUAGGAUUCAGCUGUUUGAAGAGCCCCAUCUGUGUGAGGAAUGAAAGCACGGAUUCACAAAUGGAUGCAGCCUGAAUGUUCAAGGAGCAUUAGGAAGCAGGGGAGCCAUGUGCUGGGUGCUUGCCUUUGCGUGAAGACAUCUGCAGGUUGGCAGCGCAGGUCUGGGGUCUGAGAAGAACAGAUUCCUUGGCCGUGUUGCAUCUUAUGUCUGGCGCUCUAAAAAUGGCAUUUGGGAUCCGAAACCUGACUAGAAACAGUGGCACUUUACCGAAAACAAAUUAAUUCCCAGCAGUGUGAAAGAAGGGUGCGAGACAGGAGUUGGUCGGAAGAGUUUGUUCUUCUUUUUAGCUUACAUCUACUUGUAUCCCGCUACCCUGCCUCCCCCCCCCCCCCCCCGCCUCCCCACGACACACUGUGCCUGACAGGGAAGGUCUCCCUGUGAAUGUCAAUGAUUUACAGCAGGGUUGGGUCAGCCUCUCAUCUACAGCAAUUCACUUCACCUUGUUUUGGUAGAGUGCAGUGCCAUAAAGGUAUCCUGAUACAAAAGAAAAUAAUGCCUGGCCUCUUUUGUGCUUAAUAGCACCAGUUCCCACCCUGGAAGGAGUAUUCACAUACUUUAGGUUAGACGUGUCUUCAGUGACCUGGCAGCCAGAGGCAGAUGUUUCCCUCUUUGCGCUCCAUCUGGCAGAGAACAGGGCUGGAACCAGCCUCACCGGCUGCCAGAAGAAAGUUAGCAGAGAGCAGAAAGUUUUUAAACACUGCAGAAUUUGGCCUCACUAUUACCAAUGAAAAUAGAAAUUAAUUUCAAAGCAUUUACCCAUAAUUCUCCGCUCCUUGCUAUUUUAAGUGAGUUACUCCGUUUUGUUGUCUACAACCACCCAAAGUUUUAAAUUUAUGGGGGGGGUGUUGAUUUUUUUUUUGGUUUUGUUUUUGUUUUUUUUUUAAAGUUUCAGUUUUAUGGAAAUUGUGUGACAUCCUUGAGGGUUGGGAUCAGAUCCAAACUGUCUGUGCCAUAAUUAUUUUCAAACCUUGCUGAAUUGUGUGACAACUUUAGCUUAACGCCAGUAUUUCUGUUUAGCACAUAAGCAUCAGAUGGUGCUGUGUAUGAACAAGUGUACGUGGACAUGAUAAACUAGCAUCUCCAUAUUGACUUGGAGUGACUCCAUGUCCCUGGCUUCAAAAGUAUGCAAAUUAAGGUUUGUCAUACUGAAUUUGUCUCCUCUUCCCACUCCAAGAAAGAAGCAAGAAGAAUGUGAAUUUCAAAAUGUAGUAGCAAAAUGUGUUGGUUUUUUAAAUUGAUUUCUUAAUUAAAAUUAAUGAAUUCUGUGGCAAGAAUAGUACUUCCCAGUGGGGGGAGGACACAAAGGACUGUUGUGAGAUUUAGAAAUAGCCAUGCAAUUUGGAGACAAUAAUUUCUGUCAAAUAUUCAGCGGCCUUCCUAUCUCAAAGCACUUUAAAAUGAUGACUCUGACUUCCACUCUAUGCAUUGGUUUAUUUCUUGUAUUAAUGAGCCAUACGCAUUUAUUCUUGCUCUUGGUGGUUGUUACAUUUGCAUUUGGGAACUUUAAAAGACAAUUUAAUGUGUAGCAGGAGUUUAAUAAGGUUUUCUGAAUGCUCCUGGAUCAGGCUGACCUUUCAUAGUUAGGAGGCUGGGAACUCUGCCUUUUCCUUGCUUCAGAACUAUGUGGUUUUUGUUCAGAAAGAGAGUACAGAGAAAUUGGAAAAAAAAAAAAAAGACCCAAAAAACCAACAGCCUUCCAGAUCCCUUUGCACUGCUAGCUAUGAGGAAAGCUGAUGAGAAGUUGGGGAGAUUAUAGGGAGAAAUGCAAUGGAAAGUUAAGAAGGCUGGAGUGGAAGCUGUAAGAAAGAUGGGGAUUAAAUGUAAAUGAUCCUGAACAGAAAUUGUAAAAAUAAAAAUAAAUGGAACACCAGGAAUGCCUGCAAAAUGAUGAAAAGAAUGAUUAUUUACAAGGAAGUAUUCAGAAUGUGCAAGAAGCAGGAGCAAGGUUGAACUGCUAAAGUGAAACUGCAGAGAUGUCAGUGCAAUACAAUGGGAUUCGUAAUCCCUAGGACAAUGUAAUCAGUUGUGGAAACUCAGAUACACUCAUGUAUUACUGAAUUCAAAGGUUUGGAUACCUGAAUGCUUUCCAUGUGACUGACAUGGAAAAGAUGGGUUACACAUAAUGACGUGAAAAAUCGGUGCUCGUUUAAUGGGCAUGUUGUAUGAAAAAAGUAGCAUUUAAAGGAGAAUGGAAAGAGCAAAAGGAAACACAUGGAGUUUAUUUUUGAUGCAGUUCAUAGUGUGAUCAAACUGUGAGUACAGAGCUUUAAGAAUAUAGGCUAGGACAGAUAAUGAAUGCAAGGCAUCCUAAGUUGUCAGAGUGAAGUCUAAUACUAGUGAAACCUAUAACUCAAUUCAAAGCAUAAAAAACCUCAAACCAUAAAAAAGCAGCACUAGAAUGUAUAUGCUAGCAUCAGAGGAGAUACCACAUGCAAUAACACUGAUACUGUAAAUAUGAGAAUGACAAAACUGGGAGAAGCAAUGGGACUAAGCUCAUACCAUGACAAUGAAGAGCCAUAAAGUGGGAGGGCGAGAAUAUUUAUAGGAGGAAAGACAUCGAAAACUGCAAAAGAUAUGGGAAGACAACAACCUACAGCUUAAGUAAUAUAUAUGUCAAGCAAAAGAGGCAGAAUGAAGGAGAUGAAAUAUCAUGCAAUAAUGCAUCCAGGUCACCUAGAAACCCACUGAAAAGUCUUGAAAAACUGCUAUUACUGGGGGAUUAUUCAAUAUUUCUUGAUGUGGUAUCAGCAAUAAAAAAGGAUGACAAAAUUGAGUCUGCAUUUAGGUAAAGGUGAUUAAAUUUGAUUUUAAAUAUCAAAUUGCUAUUGGAACAGCUGAUACCACUAUUAAAAAUACCAGCAGAAAAGGAAGAAAAUAUGCAAAAACCCAGUGUGACUAUUCAUUAGCCCAUUAACACGUUCAUUUUUUUUUGGUCAAGCUUUCAGAAUACUAGACAAAGCGUCAUUGUCUAUAGGAUUAUCAGCCAUAUAAAUUCUUCGCAUAUCCACCAGAGAAUCUGAAAGAUAGUAUAAAGCAAACUAUCCAAGUGAUAUAUUUGCAAAUCUUUCAAGGCUCUGAAAGAGCAAGUACAAAACAGAGCUGAUGCUACCAGCACUGUCUUUGCUUUAAACUUCAUUGAUGUUUAGAAUAAAGGUGCUUAGAAUAGCAGUUUAGUACUAAGAAAUUAAAUAUCUUUAAAAAUAUUUAAUUAAAAUUUUAAAAUUAUUAUUUUAAGGCAUUUGCAUACCCAAGGACUUAAAAGAAAAAAAGUAAAUAUGUGAGAUUAAAAUGAAAUGAUAAAAUUCAAGGGUCUUCAGGUCCUUGGAAGAUAAUUUAGUAUUGAUAGACAUUGAUAGAGUGAGGGACAGGAAGAAAUCCGUUCCAAAAAUAGUAAGUUUCACUCUCAGGGGAGCAACAGCUACAGACUGUUCCCAGUAACAUUUUACAAGAAUGAGGCCAAGAAAUAAGGACCAGCUUCUUACCAGAAGAGUCAUCUCACUGUCUGAAGCAGCCACAGAAGACAAAAAGGGAGCAGAAUAGUAGGUAGUGAGGAUUAUUAGUAUUAGCAUUCUGUAUGUUGCAUAUGCCAAAUUUCUGGAAGGCAUAUUUAGGCUCCGUUUCUACAUGCUUCCAGUACCUAAAGGGGGCCUACAAGAAAGCUGGAGAAGGACUGUUUACAGGGGCAUGGAGUGAUAGGACAAGGGGUAGUGGCUUUAAGGUGAAGGAGGGUAGAUUUAGAUGAGAUACCAGGAAGAAAUUCUUCACUGUGAGGGUGGUGAGGCACUGGAACAGGUUGCCCAGAGAGGUGGUGGAUGCCCCAUCCCUGGAAGUGUUCAAGGCCAGGUUGGAUGAGGCUUUGGGCAACGUGGUCUAGUGGAGGGUGUCCCUGCCCAUGGCAGGGGGGUUGGAACUAGAUGGUCUUUAAGGUCCCUUCCAACCCAAACCAUUCUAUGAUUCUCUGAUAUGCUGAAGAGAUCAAUAUAAUGAAUACUUGAUUUCCUUUUGGAGGGACUAUGAAAUCUAAAUGGCAUUUUUAUCCAUCUUAUAUCUCAAGCUCAUAUAGUUUCUGACAAUAGCCAUCUAGAAGAUGAUUGAUUGAUAGAUUCCAAAAUACUGUAAUUGAAACAAUAUACAUUUUAUACAGCCAGAGAAGAGGAUAAUGCAGCAGAAAUAUUUAAUUAAGAUUAUUUUAUAUUAAUCACUUGGUUGAAUAAUUGAGUUCUUAUAUUUCAUAAAAUAAGACUGCUAUAUUAUCUAUAUUCUGCUAUAUUAUCCAUUUUAUUGCUGUCACAGAAAUACAGCGACAAUAUCCAAUGCUGAUUUGUUGGUCCAAAGUCUUUCCACAGCAGAUCAUGAUGUACUUAUUCCUAAGAGCUGGAUGUUGACUCUGGUCUAAAAAGAGACUUGCAAAAAUCCUCACUAAUUAGGUAUUUCUUCUACUGACUGUAUACUCUAAGAAGCUCGUGUUUGUUAUUUACUGCUACCUGCAUACUGAAUAAUUACACUCAAUAAAUUGUUUCCUGCUAUGCCUUUCUCAGAUGGUUGGGUAAGAUUAGUCACAGCAGAAGGUACCUUCAUCCUUUUAUAAAGGCAAUCUAUUUUUUUCCGGAAACGUAGGCAUUCAUUUAGAUGAGGGAACUGCCUGAUAAUCUAUUUUGAGUUGCAGUGUUGUUUUAAUCACCUUUUCACAUAUCUAUUGGUUGUGGAAAACAGCGUAAAUAAAGGGAAAAUUUCUUAUUUCAUGGUUUUACUUUACCUUCAAAUGUAUGUAUAUAUGAAUAUAAAACAACAUACACGUAAUAUGCUUAAAUAUAAUCUGCUUACAAGUACAUAUGUAUAGCACACACGUAUUUUAAUUGGAGGAAGAAAAGAGAAACUGUCAGAAAUCCACAUCCUUCUGUCUUGGUAAAGCCCCAGAUGUAUUCAUAAUGUAGAAAUAAUAUGAAUAACAUUGAUCCCCACUGUUCUCUUCAAUUUACUUUAUUGUGGUGCAUAAUCAAACAUUUAAUUUAAACACUGGUAAAAAUUAAUGUCUGCACUUGAGCAAGGAGGUUCUAAUGUAGCAACAUGUAUCCAGCAGCAGGACCUGAUGAAGGCUCCUGUUUAACUACAUGUCAAUUUUUUUGUAAUUGCAUUCACAGGCAAUGAGAUUUAGUAUAACUCUAUUAACCUUGAUAUAGCUCAGGAUAAACAAAUCAGAUUAUACGGGUCUGUAUAUACGUGGCAAAACUUUUCAUGUUUGACUCUAAAUUAUAUAACGUUGUGUAUUAAUGUGGACCUCCUAAAACAAGUAAGAUCAUAUACCUGAGGCACUUUGAAAUGCCUAAACUCACUUUGAAAUGAAAGUGAAUUUUAGUUACGCAAAUCUCAGUUUUCUUGCAAGUGGGAUUAUCAUUGGGUUGCUACUAUCCCUGCUUAUCUUAAAGGUGCAGGAUGGAAAGUAUAACCCAUGGGGCAAGCUGAAAGGGACUUCACUGUCUUAAAUGGUCGUUAUUAAUAUAUCUUCUCGUGAACACCUUCUAGUCCCACUCAGAUAAGUUUAGCCACAGGAAGCACAACUAUGGGCGGUAAUCCUGGUAUUGCUAUCUUCUCUCAGGCUUUGUCAGUCAAACUUCUUUUAUAAAAGUUGAUCUAAUAGUUUUAGACUUGAGCAUUGCACAUAGAUUGCUAUCAGAUGGUUACAAUAAAGAAAUAGAUUACAGUGCUUAGCUAUGAAAUUUGGCGUAGAGAAGAUGAAUUGUCAUUUAUGUUAAGCAUCAGUCUGUGAAACAGUUACGUCUCUCAGACUAGAGUCCUUUUUAAAUGUUUUCCCCCCGUAUUAGAAUUCAGUAUGUCAAAGAUUUAACAAGAAGUACUUUUAUCAAAGGUAAAGAGGGUUGCAACGUUGGCUCGUCAGUGCUUGUUUUUUUAAUGGCAGUAAUUUUGUGCAAGUAAGAGGGUGUGCAUAUGUUUUUAUGUACCAGUGAUAGUUACAUAUACUACCAAUGGUAGGCUUAUUAAUUUAUCUUCUCAAGGUUUAUAAUGUACUAAAUCUUUUAGCAGCUUCACACAUCUGCCACUUAAUUAAAACCCACCACUUACCAGAGGAAUAUUUCAUUCUUUCGUCCCCUGUCAUUAAUGAUCUAUUCAGACAUUUACCUUGUCUAAAGCCAAGGCUGGACAAUGCUAUAUCCGUCUUCAGUACUGUGCAGUUGGUUUGAAGGUUUUUUUAGGUUGACCAGACACCUGACAUCUGCAGCUCAUUUGGGUUCUUUUAUCCAGGUGGCAUCAAUCUACCCUGCAAUUAUAUGUUUAAUGCCUCUGGAAGCAAAUUCAUUCUCAGUCUCCAGCUAGGUCUAAGCUUGGAAGGUCUCUGGGUAUUUCACUUUAAAAUCAUUUGGUUGGGUGUCAAAUACUCAUUCACAUAGUUGAAGAGGCUUAAAAAUGUUACUUAUUUAAAUUCUUUUUUGUAGAUACAUACAAUUAGACUCAUCGUAAUUAGGAGCCUAAGUCGGCUCAAGCUAAUUUUAAUGGCAAAACCCCAAUUAACAUCACUGGAAAGAAUAUGAAGUCCUGGUGGCUUUGCUAGAGCCUAUGUAUACACACACAGGAAUUGCUUCAUCCAUCACUGACACUCAGCUGUCACUGUCUGUCUAGAAUACGCAUCAUCACCAGUAAAAUGUUGUUUUAUUAUUUGCCUUUCAGAACAAUCCCCAGACUUCUUGCUGGAUUUGUGGUUGCAGUUUUAUUUCCAGAGUUAUAAUGUCCUUAAAUGUACAUCUUCCAAUUUGAGAUAUGCUGCUUU